ensembl:lncRNA
CAAAUGCAUUUCAAAUAAAUCAAGUGAUGCUAUGAAAGACUGUUACAAGAUAUCAUGCAAGACAUCGGCACCAUAAGCAAGACCUACUCUACAAGUGACUUUUCUGCUUUAUUUUCAGGAAUAUUAUCUGUUGCAGAUUAUUCAUGCACUGCUUUACUAGAAAACAUCAACAACUCCAGUCUCACUUCAAAUAACACAGAAAUAUUUGCAUGCUGCUCAGACCUCUUUAACAGUGCAAAUAGUUCCACAGAGAUCUUCCUGAAAGCAAACAACAACUCAAGGAUCUUGACAGGAUGUUGUAAACUUCUGAACCAACCCGUGAUUAAUUGCAGCUGGAUCCCUACAUUUCCAUAAACUAAGGCAUCAUAUUGGAAGAGACAUGCAUUGGACUUUACCUCUCUUAUGGACUGGUAGUAACAAAGAUUGAAAGUGGAGUCAUUGUCUUGCUGAUGGAGAUAGAGCAUAUCUUGCUGAAACUAGAUUGACAACUUUGAAGGUCCUCCAGUUUUAUUGGAGUGAUUUGGUAAGUAUCCAUGAACACUUGGGUCCUCUUACAAAGACCAGGCCACAGUGAAGCACAUAUUGAAACAUUAUAAGCCAUUUCAAAUAUUUAUUUUAAACAAUUCCAAUUAUCCUGGUUGUUUUUUAUACUUCUUAAAUCUUCUUACUUUAACUGUGGAGGAUGACAAAGUUUUGCUCUAUUAGACAAUGGUCCUAUGUAUUUCUGCUCAGACUAAUUGAUUUCUUUGGGACUUACUUCCAAGCAAGUAUAAUAAUGUUUACAGCCUGACUUGUCACUUUUAAAUGGUACAGUUGUGGUUUUGUCAUUACAUGAGUUAAGAGAUUUACAUUGAAAUCAGCUUUCAGUGUAGCUUUGUAUUAUUUUCUCAUGCAUUGAAAUCUCUAUAACAUCUAGAUAUUACUAGUAUUACAUUGCAAGUAUUUAAAUUGUGACUUAGUCUUGCAAGGAACCCAAGGUGGCUUAACGUUCUGUUCCUCUCCAUUUUAUCCUCACGACAGCAAUCUUGUGAGAUAGGCCAGGCUGAGUGACGGGCCCCAAGUCACCCAGUGGGCUUCAUGGCUGAGUGGGAACUAGAGCCCUACUCCUGAGUCACAUUGUGCUACAUCAAACCUGUGAGACUGUGUUUUCAAGUAGCAACCCAGAACAGAAAUUCCACUUGACCAAAACCAGUUAUUUCUUAAAAAUCAACUAAGGGAGAAAGAGUUUUGAAAUCUAGGACAGAUUACCUUUUUAAAUGCAGAAACACUAGCUCGAAUUGAAUAUAGCUGCUGACCCUGCUGGUUCCAUUGUGUUUGUAGUGCUGAACACUUGUGGUCCUUAGUGGUCCUUAAAAGGAACCCUGGAAAUAAGCAGAAAUUAUCUUUUCCAAAACAAGAACAUUCAGCAGAACCCCCUCCUGCAAGUUCUGAUGAUUUGCACCCUUCCGUAAACAAGUGUUUCUUCUCAUUUGGGAUUGCUCCAUGGGCCAGUAUGUUCCCAUUUGACUGGCAGCAUAUUCUGCCAGUGCAUGAGCACAAUUGGAUACUGUCCAAGUGUAACAAUCAUUACCAAUGCAAUAAGUCUGCUGCUAU